CCACGUUGCCACCACCACGCUGCCGCCACAUAUUGUCUGCCUCCGGUGUCGUUGUCGUCAUUUGCCACACCACGUUCCUUCCAGCCACCACGUUGUUCCCGCCAGCCACCACCAUCAUCACGCUAAAAUAAUUCCUGUGCCAUCACGUUGCCACCACCACGCUGCCGCCACAUCCGCCACAUUAUUGUCUGCCUCCGCUGUCGUCGUCAUUUGCCACACCACAUUCUAUCCAGCCACCACGUUGCUCCCGCCAGCCGCCACCAAUCUUGCUAAAAUAAUUCCUGACUGUAAAGAUGCGGCAUUACUUUGGGCUCUGCAUGGAUACUUUGUACCUUUCCAAAAAGUUAUAAAAAAAGACACAGAUGGUAGGAAACACGUUAUACGACAUACCAUCAAGGACUCGCAGUAUUCAUUCGUUUGGAUAGGCAACACAAUUCAAGCUUAAGAAGACCAUAUUGCCUUCCUCAACAAAAUGGGUGAGAAUACCCACCCACCAAAUAAAAAAUGUAUGUAUGUACAAAUGCU